GAUGAACGCUGGCGGCGUGCUUAACACAUGCAAGUCGAACGAAGCACUUUACUUGAUCUCCUUCGGGAUUGAUUGUUCUGUGACUGAGUGGCGGACGGGUGAGUAACGCGUGGAUAACCUGCCUCACACAGGGGGAUAACAGUUGGAAACGGCUGCUAAUACCGCAUAAGCGCACAGCACCGCAUGGUGCAGUGUGAAAAACUCCGGUGGUGUGAGAUGGAUCCGCGUCUGAUUAGCUGGUUGGCGGGGUAACGGCCCACCAAGGCGACGAUCAGUAGCCGGCCUGAGAGGGCGACCGGCCACAUUGGGACUGAGACACGGCCCAGACUCCUACGGGAGGCAGCAGUGGGGAAUAUUGCACAAUGGGGGAAACCCUGAUGCAGCGACGCCGCGUGAGCGAUGAAGUAUUUCGGUAUGUAAAGCUCUAUCAGCAGGGAAGAUAAUGACG
rnacentral:rRNA from 1 species